ensembl:lncRNA
AAGAAAAGAAAGAAAAAAAAAGAAAAAGAAAAUACAGUCUUUUGGAGUGAGAGUCUUUUCAGUUCAACGAAAUCCAACUGAAAGUUCACAGAGAUCGGAGUGAAUAUGGUCCAUAUUCUUCACAGCUCAGUGAGAAUCAUCACUUGUCAGCAAUAGCUUAUCUCACAUUGUAGUAAAGUGAGAUCUGGGUGUUCAAAUGUGUGGACAGUAUAGAAGAAUUUAAUGUAAGAUGUCAUUCAAUAUAGGAAAAUAAUUGAGAAAGAAAUAAAAAGAGAGCAGUUAUAGCUGCAGAAAUGCAGUGUUCUAAUGUCAUGUAUGCUAGCACACCUUACGCUGCCUUUUUACUUCCUUAUACUGAUCAAAUGGGAGAAGGCAAUUGCUAAAGCAUCUAAUACACCGGUUACAUUUUGUACAGCUGUUGCCAUUGGGGGACAUGUAUUAAAACUUUCUUUUAUUAACUGUAAUUAGGACAUGCUAAUUCUGUACGUAAGACAGACAUUGACAUCUUUAUUGUUUCUCUUUCCUCUGGCCUUACCUAUACACCAUCAGAAAUGUGUUUUGAGGAGCUCACUUUCAGGAGUACUCAUAUUGGAUGAGUACAUUGCAAGCAGAGAGCCUGGCUGUGUGGGCAGGAGGAAUAUGGCAUAACAGAACUCUGCACUGGGAGCCACCGGGGAGCAAAUGUCAUUCUGGGGAUUUCUCCUAUCUGAAUAUGGAAUCCUACUAAUUGCAAUGGAGUUGAGUCUAUCAGGAACUGUGAGCAAGCAAAAGGUACAUUUGCAGCCAGCUGGUCCCUAUCGUGCCAGCCUGCCAAAUGAAAACUUGCUGGGGGCCCAUGGAGAUGCAUGAUCUCAUGCUCCCCCUGAGUCAUCAUUCAGGAGGUGAUAUCUUAAUCUGAAGUGUCAGGGAGGGAGCAGCAGUCACACUUUCUGUUCCUUGGAAGGGCAGGAGAUCUGUGCCAGACUCUGGGGACUUCCAGCCUCGCUGGCUGCUACAACUGCAGAUAACUCAAGGAGUUCUAGAAACACCAAUAGACCACAUGGCUUUUCCAAGUCAUUCAGGUGUUCUCAGUAGUUUUUAUUCUCAUUGAAAGCAACAGGAAUCUUCCUAGAACUUCACUUACACAGCAGAUAAGGGAUGUUACAAGGUGUUCUUAAGAGUAUCCACAGUAGCAGUAGUCUGCCAGCUCAGCACUCAGAGCAAUGAGCAUACACCAACAAAAGCUUCAGUCACUGAAGUUUUUCUGUGCUCAUGGAAAUAACUGAAUUUCAGCCUCUCAUUGAAGCUUGCACUACACUAGCUUGUUCAAUAAUCUUAUGGUCACAUCUUUAAUUUUAUUUAAAGUUAUCAAAUAGUGCAGACCUUGAGUGAUCUAUAUUGUAGUGCUUAUACAGCUUCCUCUGAACACUUGGAAAGCAUUUAUUUAAUAUUAAUCAUGCUAGCUUCCCUGGGUAGAGAAAUGUGAGUCUUAUCUAUAAAAGAGUUGUGCUAUAGGUAUUUCCCCUGAAAAGGAAAACUGUAUUUGAAAUGCUUAUAUGGACAACUCAGUUACAAAAAUAACCUAUCCAACAACAUUUUUUCUAUGGUUAUCAACUAAUAAAGCCUUUUUAUAUGGAUAAUAUUUUAUUGUACUUGAUUUAUGUGGAAAAAAUUGUGAAGUACUUGAAAUUAUAAGGCAGAGCUCUUCAUUUUGACACUUAAGAGAAUGUCAUAUGAAUUUGCUCUGUGUAACAGUAUUUAUUACAAAAGAUUAGAGACAAAGCAUCUCAAAAGCCUUAUGAACUCAGGUUGGGCUGUAAGAAAAUAUCUUCCAUUCACAGUGGUCAUCAUUGCUCUCCAAUGAAACCAAGUUCUGAAGGAAAACAAAAAACAACAUUUAAAAAUGACUUGCCUGUCAUAGCGAUAAAAAAGAUUACAAUAAGUUCACACCAUGCGUGAAAAAAAAUAAACAAACAAUAUUUAUUUUUUGCACAAUGCCAUCUCUUAUCAAAUGAAUAAAAUAAUUAGAUUUAGAAAAGUGUUCUGAUCGAUUUGCAGUUGCCAAUCUUAUGUGAUCAUAUGCAAUGCACUGGGAAGCAGCUGAUUAAUGCUACCAUUAUAACUGUUUAACCAGAUAACUGUUUAAGCUCCAGAGAUACUGUUAGAAUAGGAAUUUUAGAUCCUAAUAUCUCAGUGUCUGAUAUAUAUAAGAAACACAUUCAUCCAGAGACAUCUUAUCUCUCACCAGGCUUUUUAAAGACUAUGCAGCAAAAGAAUUUGCUUGAGGCUGCAUCCUUCUCUCCUAUGAUACUUAAUAAAAAUAAGGGGAUAUCCUGCUUGAUGCCAAGUUUUAUGCUACUGAAUGACAACUGUCUUUGAUUGCCUUUCAGCAAAAUUCUGUAGUGAGAGGCCAUCCCUAGCAGCUAGAUGGCAUUCUGCACUUCCUGGAAAUUAAUGACAAUGAAGUGUUUAGCUAGAAUUCAAGCAGUGACAUUAAUGAGCACUAUAUAUGUGAAAGCUGCAGAUUAACAGUUGUCCCUAUCAGUUUCUAAGCACUCAGUACCAGGCUACAUAAUGGAUGCCAUGUUCACACGUUAAGCCUGCGCUCAGUUUUAAAUCUUGUUAAAUGUUAAAUGUGUUGAAAACAACGCAAACUCGAACUGAAUUUUGCUAAUCAUUGAAAUCUUGCUACACCUAAACCUUUGUCAGUUAUUGUGGAGAGGCACCAGCUCUCUACCUUAAGUCAUGGCUCCUUUUAUCCUACUGAUUCUCAGGGUUCAAAACCUUAGGUCUUCCAAAAGGAACUUUUGUAGUAGCACUAGUCUGACAAAGCUGGAGGAAUAGAUAGUUUGGAAAGAGGUAAACAAGAGGAUGUGGAGUAUGUUCAUAAACUGAGGUCUUGUGUGUGCUUCCCAUCUCUGACACCAGUUAUGGGCCCUAGACAGUUUCAUUCCAUUGUGUCUAGCCUCACAAUGAUGUGAGAGAAGGUAUGGAGUCCAUAGGUAAAAAUGGACAUGGACCACUGAUAAUGACAUGUCCAAUUUAAAAACAAACAAACAAACGUAAAAAUAAAACAUAAUAAUAAUAAUAAUAAAAAGACUGUGGAUUUCAUCAGAGAAUGCAUCAGCAAGCCAGAUUAGAGGAGGCAAGCAAAUUAUCAGGAGAAUGAGGGCUGAGCUCAAGGUUUGUGAAAGCAUACAGACUGGGAAUGAAUGGGUCACCCAUUUUUUCUGUUAAUACUGUGCAAGUGGAUAGCAAACAAUCAUAAAUGGAGGGAAUCGAGAAGAGGAUAAUAAUCCCUAGAGGUAAGGACACUUGGUUAGGUGGUGAUGACAGCCCUGCUACAAAACUUCAAGACUGAUUAAGUACUUUUAAUCACAUGAAGUACACAAAUCACCUCUAGAGCAGAAAGAGACAUACCUUAGGGCUACAAAGUCACUUUAUCUUAUUCGUUCCCUGAUCUGACGAAUCUAGGAUCCUCUCCUACACAGAGGCAAAGCUUGUAUGGGAAAGGUUGAAGUUAUUGUGAUUCUCCUUCCUCACCCUCUUUUCACACCCAGACAGCUGUUUAUAUUUCAUCUCCCAUAUAGAAAAGAGUCCAGGAAGGAAGGCUCAUAGGAAUGAGCUCUUUUACUUGAUGUCAGAAUUUGCAGAAAAUCUGUGUUUGUGCAGGAAAAAUCUCAUCUUUGCAUUGUCAAGUAUGUUUUGAAAAUAGGAUCAGAGUCUGCAGAUAUUGUGGGAAAAUGUAUUUCCAGAAAGAUUCAGAAGUCAGUAUAGGUAGAAAUAUAGUUCCAGAUCUCAGAUUUAUCUUACUUGAUUUAUCUUGCUUAAUUCUGUAUGCUCCCUGUGAAUAUAUCUAGAGCUGAGCUAGUGUCCAUUUCUACCCAGGAGAGAGGAAAACAAGAUAAACAAGAUAUGUCUAGUGUAACUUAUAUGACUACUCUCAGAUGAGAUCAGUUAUGCCUAAGAAUCAUUCUUUAUUGCUUUUUCAAAUAUAUAUAUGUAUAAGCAUGGGAUAACCAGCAAAACCUCCAUAAACCUCAAUAUUGUUAUGUUUAGGCAUCUGAAUCUUACUUCGAUCUCCUGGAAUCUUUAAAAUCUUAUUAUAAAGUAAGAAUGAUUUCAAGGUUGCUCAAAGAAAGAUUUUUUCACAAUCAGAAUUCUGCAACUAAAUGUCAAAAGCUUCUUUUAUCCCUUGCUUGCUUGUUGGUUGGUUUGCUCUUUCUUAUUUGUUCAUUUGUUUUUUCAUCUGAUCUUCAUUUCUUUUAGUCUCCACCAUGCUCUGCAAAUCAGUGAAGAAAGAUCCUAAUGAAAUUAUUUAGAAGAAGUGUCAUCAUUAUACAGGCUGCUAGAGGAAAGUCAUUCUUGUGUUAAUUGUAAGCAACGAGGUUAAACAAAUAGAUUCCCCCACUCCCAAAUAAGCUGAAGCAGAAGAUCUCAGAGGUACUUUCAGAAAAAGUCACAAUUUAGAACAAAGAGUUUUGAAGUCACUGGAUUCUGAGAAAAAGGAUAUCUUUCAGGGUCAUUGAGAGCUUUUAUGGUAAAUCUUUGACUAUUCGUUAAAUAAAAUGAAGGAAAUGUUUAAAGCUGAUUUCAUCGAGCUAUGGUGGUCAGUAUUAUAAUAAGCCAAAUAAUUAGACAAACAAAAGAUGUGAGAGUAGAUACAUCUUAAUUUAAUAGAGUUUUUAUUAAGAUGAAGUACACAUUAUUUCACCUACAUUAAAAAGAUUUUAUGUUUGGACAAGUGGCUAUUUGAAUUUUCUUCUAUAUUUAUCUGAAUUGAAGACAUUGACAGUAACAGAUUCAGAUUUUAUGGACUCAUUGCUCUGAUCUAGGACUGGAAAUAUAAUGUAUGCGUCUUUUUUGUAAUUUUGUUUAAAAAAAUAUCUGUGCUUAGAGACAUGGACUUUCGUCUUGGUAUGAAUCUCUAAGUCAGUAAGUCCAUUUUCUAAUUUAUCUCCCCCUCUUUAACCUUGUUCUUUGUUUACUUUCAUUCCACUGAACCAUCAUGACCCUAAGCACCUUUGAAA